rnacentral:rRNA from 1 species
UACGGAGGAUGCAAGCGUUAUCCGGAUUUACUGGGCGUAAAGCGCCCGUAGGCGGCCUGACAAGUUGGACGUGAAAGCUCCUGGCUUAACUGGGAGAGGCCGUUCAAAACUGUCAAGCUAGAGUCUGGAAGAGGAGAGUGGAAUUCCUGGUGUAGCGGUGAAAUGCGCAGAUAUCAGGAAGAACACCCGUGGCGAAAGCGGCUCUCUGGAACGGUACUGACGCUGAGACGCGAAAGCGUGGGGAGCAAACAGG